rnacentral:rRNA from 1 species
AUUGAACGCUGGCGGCAGGCCUAACACAUGCAAGUCGAGCGAGCGGCGGACGGGUGAGUAAUGUCUGGGAACUGCCCGAUGGAGGGGGAUAACUCCUGGAACCGGUAGCUAAUACCGCAUACUAUCGGAUUACCCAAAUGGGAUUAGCUAGUAGGUGGGGUAAUGGCUCACCUAGGCGACGAUCGCUAGCUGGUCUGAGAGGAUGAUCAGCCACACUGGGACUGAGAAACGGCCCAGACUCCGACGGAGGCAGCAGUGGGGAAUAUUGCACAAUGGGCGCAAGCCUGAUGCAGCCAUGCCGCGUGUAUGAAGAAGGCCCUAGGGUUGUAAAGUACUUUCAGUGGGGAGGCGUUACCGACAGAAGAAGCACCGGCUAACUCCGUGCCAGCAGCCGCGGUAAUUC